rnacentral:rRNA from 1 species
AACGUAGGUUCCGAGCGUUAUCCGGAUUUACUGGGCGUAAAGCGCGUUCAGGCGGUUUGGCAAGUCGGGCAUGAAAUCUCUCGGCUCAACCGGGAGAGGUUGUCCGAUACUGCUGGACUUGAGGGCAGUAGAGGGUGGUGGAAUUCCUGGUGUAGCGGUGAAAUGCGCAGAUAUCAGGAGGAACACCGAUGGCGAAGGCAGGUCUCUGGGCCACUACUGACGCUGAGAAGCGAAAGCAUGGGGAGCGAACAGG